rnacentral:rRNA from 1 species
AUUGAACGCUGGCGGCAUGCCUUACACAUGCAAGUCGAACGGUAACAGGUUAAGCUGACGAGUGGCGAACGGGUGAGUAAUGUAUCGGAACGUGCCCAGUCGUGGGGGAUAACUGCUCGAAAGAGCAGCUAAUACCGCAUACGACCUGAGGGUGAAAGCGGGGGAUCGCAAGACCUCGCGCGAUUGGAGCGGCCGUUACCAGAUUAGGUAGUUGGUGAGGUAAAGGCUCACCAAGCCGACGAUCUGUAGCUGGUCUGAGAGGACGACCAGCCACACUGGGACUGAGACACGGCCCAGACUCCUACGGGAGGCAGCAGUGGGGAAUUUUGGACAAUGGGCGCAAGCCUGAUCCAGCCAUGCCGCGUGCGGGAAGAAGGCCUUCGGGUUGUAAACCGCUUUUGUCAGGGAAGAAAAGGUUCUGGCUAAUACCUGGGACUCAUGACGGUACCUGAAGAAUAAGCACCGGCUAACUACGUG